CUGCAUAUAUAUAUGAUGGAAAAUUAUUAUUGCAUUGGUCCAUUCCAUCAUGUGAACAUUGCAAAGGUCGUAAUCAUAGAAGGCCAAAUCUGAAGAUAUUAGGUAUUUCGGCACUCUGUUUAGUUCUAAUAGCGACGGGGACGACAAUCUACUAUGUCUACAACUCAAACAAAAAGGAAAAAGAAAAUCAGCUUAGAAUUGAAAGAUUUUUGGAUGAAUACAGAGCAAUGAAGCCAAGUAGAUAUUCCUAUGCUGAUAUUAAGAGGAUAACAAGUCAAUUCAAGGAAAAGUUGGGUCAAGGUGCCUACGGAACAGUGUUCAAAGGAAAGCUUUCCUCAGAGUUACUUGUUGCUGUGAAAAUCCUCAACAAUUCAAAUGAAAAUGGGGAAGAUUUCAUAAACGAAGUGGGGACAAUGUGUCAAAUCCACCAUGUCAAUGUGGUUCGCUUGGUUGGAAUUUGUGCUGACGGAUUUAUUCGUGCUCUUGUUUA